GAUGAACGCUAGCGGCAGGCUUAACACAUGCAAGUCGAGGGGUAGAAGUUGCUUGCAACUUUGAGACCGGCGCACGGGUGCGUAACGCGUAUGCAAUCUACCUUAUACAGAGGGAUAGCCCAGAGAAAUUUGGAUUAAUACCUCAUAGUAUAAUUGAAUGGCAUCAUUUAAUUAUUAAAGUUCCAACGGUAUAAGAUGAGCAUGCGUCCUAUUAGCUAGAUGGUAAGGUAACGGCUUACCAUGGCAACGAUAGGUAGGGGUCCUGAGAGGGAGAUCCCCCACACUGGUACUGAGACACGGACCAGACUCCUACGGGAGGCAGCAGUGAGGAAUAUUGGACAAUGGGCGCAAGCCUGAUCCAGCCGUGCCGCGUGCAGGAAGAAGCAUCUAUGGUGUGUAAACUGCUUUUGUACGGGAAGAAACACUCCUUCGUGAAGGAGCUUGACGGUACCGUAAGAAUAAGGAUCGGCUAACUCCGUGCCAGCAGCCGCCGUAAAAC
rnacentral:rRNA from 1 species